GACGAACGCUGGCGGCGUGCCUAAUACAUGCAAGUCGACCUUAGUUGCGAACGGGUAAGUAACACUUGGGUAACCUGCCCAUCAGAAGGGGAUAACACUUGGAAACAGGUGCUAAUACCGUAUACUGAUGGCUGGCCCCGCGGUGCAUUCGCGAGUUGGUGAGGUAACGGCUCACCAAGGCCACGAUGCAUAGCCGACCUGCGAGGGUGUCCGGCAACAUUGGGCCUGAGACACGGCCCAAACUCCUACGGUAGGCAGCAGUAGGGAAUCUGCGGCAAUGGACGAAAGUCUGACCUAGCAACGCCGCGUGAGUGAAGAAGGUUUUCGGAUCGUAAACCUCUGUUGUUAGAGAAGCGGUAUCUAACCAGAAAGCCCCGGCUAACUACGUGCCAGCCGCCGCGGUAAUUC
rnacentral:rRNA from 1 species